UAGAUCAUCGAAGGUGAUGGUUUAUGAAGGGUUCAAGGACAUUCUCAAGAUCCAGAAGUUCAGGAGGUUCGUGAGGUACUCUGUGUUCUACUGCUUCACUGCCGUCUUGAGCUAUGCCCACACCAACAACACUACUAGAGUUGGAUAUUCUAGAGGAGACCAGUAUUAUGCGGCUUACCCCGCCGGAACCUAGCUAUUGGGUGAUUUUGAUAAGUUGUACAAAGCCGCUCUUGGCAAUUGCUUCGAAGCAGAAGAGUGGGGUCCCAUCGAGUUCUGCAUCAUGUCCAAGCACUUUGAGCGCCAAGGAAAAGCGCCAUAUGCAUAUCAUGCUGCAAGCUUCACAGAGUCCCAAGUAUCUCAACAAUAUGUGGCGCACCUUCUCUCCCUUGGACAACUAGAUGGAUCUGGAUAGAGAGAAAAUGCUGAUACUGAGAGAUUUAUUUGUUGGACUGUGUAAAGAUGGUAAUUGCAGGAUACAGGGAACAUCUUCCUGUUUAGGUUUGUUAAAAAUCGUAAAACCAAGAGCCCAUGGCUAAUUUUUAUAAUUAAUAUGCUGUAUGGUAUUAAGUUUAAAAUGAAAAGAGUAUGAUUUGAUCGUGCUGUUCAGGGAUUCUAUCAUUGCUUCUGAUCAAUUUAUGUUGCCCUGUUUUGGAUUGGUAUUCA